rnacentral:lncRNA from 11 species
GAAGUAUAGCGUUGUUAUAGAACACACAGCCUGGAAGGAUGCCUUUUGAUGCCAGCUUGGCUCCCAAGUGCAGAAGCAUGAAAGUAGUUGGACUAUAUUUCUCGACCUGAGAGAAUCUUAUGGUCCAAGAUGACAGCAAUUGUAGUCCA